rnacentral:rRNA from 1 species
CCUUCGGGUGUGAAUUAGCGGCGAACGGGUGAGGAACACGUGAGAAAUCUGCCUUCAACUCUGGGAUAACUCCGUGAAAACGGGGCUAAUACCGGAUAUGAGAUCUACAGGCAUCUGUGGAUCUGGAAAGUUUUUCGGUUGAAGAUGAUCUCGCGGCCUAUCAGCUUGUUGGUGAGGUAAUGGCUCACCGAGAAGACGACGGGUAGCCGGCCUGAGAGGGCGACCGGCCACAUUUUCUCUGAGAUACGGACCAGACUCCUACGG